rnacentral:misc_RNA from 1 species
GCUACAGAACUUCUAAUCCAGGAAAUAUUUGCUUCUCCUCAUCCCUAAUGCUCCCUUUGAGUGAUGUCCUGUUCCCUUCUUUGGUCGUCCCCUUCUCCGUUUUUGUUUUCCCUCAUACUCGUUAGGCAUUCCCCCUCGGAACAAAUUUUUGCCACUUUCUUGCCCUUGCAGACCAUAAAUGAUUGGAGAAGGGAGGGAUGAUUCCUGGUUUAAUAAACAAUUAAUGCUCUUGCUCCUCUGACUUCCAUCACAUUCACUAAGAUUCUCUUUCUCAGGCAUUAAUGCAUUCUCUGUCUUUGCCAAGUUAUCAAGCAUUGAUGUUGUGUCCUUUUUUGCCUCUUGCUCAGGCAUUGUUGUUGUGUCUGCAUUUCCCUCCAUAACAGAAGCUUUUGCUUCCUUUCCUGCCUCCAUUCUUUCAAUUUUCAACCGACGGUACAUUCUUUUCUUUAAUGGCAAUUCCCUUUCUGGUUCAGAAAUCCUCAGCAUAGAUUUUCAGUGAACUUUUCAAUUAUAAAAUUUGAAGGAGGAAAAGAAAAAUAAUAAUGCUGCAUGAGAAGCUUACAGAAAUUCAAAAUUCAAAAAGAAAUUCAAAAGCACAUAGAAUGAAUCGCAAGAAAUAAGCUUCAAACUAACCAACUUCCUCCUUCUGGCACUAAGAUGGGUAACCGACUUAAUCAUUUUUAUUGAAACAACCUUUAUUGGCCUAUUUGGCUAUAUCCGUAAAGCCAAAGAGUUCUCUAUUCUAUGCUUUUCAAACAACAAAUGUGCCAUUUCCACAUUAUGUUUAGUUGAAUCAGCCCCAUGGUUUUCAUGAAGGCAAAAGUGUUUGCAGUUGUAAAUGUCAGAACAGAACCUAAAAACUCUGAAUGACUGCCAAAACAUUAACAACACAUAAUGCUAGAAUAUGCAUCCAAAAAUUUAUAGCAGCUUGUGAAUUUUACUUCACAUGAUUUUAGAAUGUGAUAGAUUAGCACACACUUUGACUAUGUUACAUAAAUGCUCAUGACACAUAUGCAGGCACUAUAAUUCUUUAUACAUCCAACCAUUGUGGCCAUAAAGCUACAUUUAGGGGAGAGCAUUCGGUCGGUUCAGUUCCGAACCGAA